UACAGAGGGGGCAAGCGUUGUUCGGAAUUACUGGGCGUAAAGGGCGCGUAGGCGGCCUGUUAAGUCGGAUGUGAAAUCCCCAGGCUUAACCUGGGAACUGCAUCCGAUACUGGAUGGCUUGAAUCCGGGAGAGGGAUGCGGAAUUCCAGGUGUAGCGGUGAAAUGCGUAGAUAUCUGGAGGAACACCGGUGGCGGAAGGCGGCAUCCUGGACCGGCAUUGACGCUGAGGAGCGAAAGCCAGGGGAGCAAAACGGG
rnacentral:rRNA from 1 species